AUUGAACGCUGGCGGUAGGCCUAACACAUGCAAGUCGAACGGCAGCGGGGGGUAGCUUGCUACCUCGCCGGCGAGUGGCGGACGGGUGAGUAAUGCCUGGGGAGCUGCCCAGUCGAGGGGGAUACCAGUUGGAAACGACUGCUAAUACCGCAUACGCCCUGAGGGGGAAAGAUGGGGAUCUUCGGACCUAUCGCGAUUGGAUGCACCCAGGUGGGAUUAGCUAGUUGGUGAGGUAACGGCUCACCAAGGCGACGAUCUCUAGCUGGUCUGAGAGGAUGACCAGCCAAACUGGAACUGAGACACGGUCCAGACUCCUACGGGAGGCAGCAGUGGGGAAUAUUGCACAAUGGGGGAAACCCUGAUGCAGCCAUGCCGCGUGUGUGAAGAAGGCCUUCGGGUUGUAAAGCACUUUCAGCGGGGAGGAAGGGGAGCAAGCUAAUACCUUGUUUCAUUGACGUUACCCGCAGAAGAAGCACCGGCUAACUCCGUGCCAGCAGCCGCCGUAA
rnacentral:rRNA from 1 species